GUCGUAACAAGGUUUCCGUAGGUGAACCUGCGGAAGGAUCAUUAUCGAAUAAACUUGAAACAGGCUGUUGCUGGUCCUUCUGGAUAUGUGCACGCUUGUCUCAUCUUUAUCAUUCUCCCCAACUGUGCACAUUCUGUAGACCCUGGAGUAUUCUUUUUUGGACUCUUUGUCCGAGUCAGGACUGCUGUGNCCCACAUUUUGUAGUCAGCUUUUCCUUGCAUCUCCAGGUCCUAUGUCAUUUUUCACAACCUCUCAAUAUGUUUAGAAUGUUGAAUAAGGUGCUUUUUGUACCUAUAAAAAAAGUUGUAAACAACUUUCAGCAACGGAUCUCUUGGCUCUCGCAUCGAUGAAGAACGCAGCGAAAUGCGAUAAGUAAUGUGAAUUGCAGAAUUCAGUGAAUCAUCGAAUCUUUGAACGCAUCUUGCGCUCCUUGGUAUUCCGAGGAGCAUGCCUGUUUGAGUGUCAUUUAACUUCUCAAUCACAACAAAUUCGUUUGAUGUGGCUUGNAUAUGGGGGGAUCAUUUUUUGCAGGCUUCUUCUGGAGGUCGNNUCCCCUGAAAUGCAUUAGUGGNAUCUGUGCUACUGCUGUAGGUGUGAUAAUUAUCUAUGCCUCUGGUAUGCUGCAUGAAUGGAUUGCACUGCUUAUAACAAGACAAUUCUUGAUAAAUUUGACCUCAAAUCAGGUAGGACUACCCGCUGAACUUAAGCAUAUCAAUAAGCGGAGGAAAAGAAACUAACAAGGAUUNCCCUAGUNACUGCGAGUGAAGCGGGAAAAGCUCAAAUUUGAAAUCUGGUGGNUCUUGAGCCAUNCGAGUUGUAAUCUAGAGAAGUGUUACCUGUGCUGGACCGUGUACAAGUCUCCUGGAAUGGAGCAUCAUAGAGGGUGAGAAUCCCGUCUUUGACAUGGACUACCUGUACGAUAUGGUGCGCUCUCAAAGAGUCGAGUUGUUUGGGAAUGCAGCUCAAAAUGGGUGGUAAAUGCCAUCUAAAGCUAAAUAUUGGCGAGAGACCGAUAGCGAACAAGUACCGUGAGGGAAAGAUGAAAAGAACUUUGGAAAGAGAGUUAAACAGUACGUGAAAUUGCUGAAAGGGAAACGCUUGAAGUCAGUCACGUUGGCUAGAAAUCAGCCUUGCUUUUGCUUGGUGUACUUUCUGGUCGAUGGGUCAGCAUCAAUUUUGACCACCGGAUAAAGUCUUUGGGAAUGUGGCAUCUUAGGAUGUGUUAUAGCCCAUUGUCGCAUACAGUGGUUGGGAUUGAGGAACUCAGCACGCCGCAAGGCCAGGUCUUUUGAUCAUGUUCGUGCUUAGGAUGCUGGCAUAAUGGCUUUAAUCGACC
rnacentral:rRNA from 1 species